GGUUCUGUAGUGUAGUGGUUAUCACUCGGGAUUUUGAAUACAAUUUCCCGAAACCCAGGUUCGAACCCUGGCAGGACCU
rfam:Pisolithus tinctorius Marx 270 unplaced genomic scaffold scaffold_9, whole genome shotgun sequence.